AUUUUCCCCCCCUAUUUUUAAUUUCUCGACUGCAAUUUCUCAAUUGCACGGGAGAGGAGAAAAAAAAUUCAAGGAUAUUUAUUUUAUUUAUGUAAAGUUGUUUUUUUUUUUUGGCUUAAUUCUGGGGAUUUCUUAUUUAUGUGUUCCUAAGAGGUGGACACAGGGUGUUUUCUUCUUGACCCGAAUUCAUCAUCAUCAAUCCCGCGGAUGUCUCUCGGAUUCUAUCGAGAAAAUCGCGUUCUACUCGAUUGAUUAUAAUCAAAGGUUCGGUGUGUACUGAGAUUUUUUCUUUUUUUUUUUUCAAAUAGAAAUGAAAUUUUCGAAUAGAUUUGUUACCGGUUUCUGCUCGAUUCAAAUGUAAAUGGUGAAGUUGAGGUCGCUUUCAGAAUUUAUUCGCUCAUCGAUUUUGGGCUUUGGGCUGAGGAGUUUUAAAAUUGGGGUUCACUUGUGGAAUUUGAAUGGCGAUCAGUAUACUAUUGGCCAUGAUAGAUAGUUAUGCUAUGUGAGUUUUUCCUUUUUUCCACUGUUUUGGGGCCUGGAAAGGGGGGUUGAUAUUAUUUGCAAUUUCGAAAGGCGGAAUAAGAGUCUUAAGCCCUUUCCUUUUUUUUUUUCGGGUGGCAAUUGGUUUUAUUCGUGGAGGCUGCGCUGGGUUGUGGGGAAGGUUGUUCACUAAUUGGGUUUCUGAUUCUUGUUAUUUGAUUUGUUCUGGUAAUUGAAGCGAUGGAGAAUGUGUACAUAUUUCUCUUAAGAAUUAGCUGCUUUCCCAUUUAUUCCAACUUCAAGGGGUUGCUUGGUGAUUAGCCCUUGUUUGGAUUUGGCAUUUGCUUGGCGUCUUAUCUUGUUUUGUUUUGGGUUUUUGACACAUGAGAGCAGUAAGCAAAUGAGCCUAUCACAAUGGUGAAAGGAAAAGGAGGGUUGCAUAGUCGAUGGAUGCUGCGGAUAACCCAUUUCCGGCUCUAGUUGGAAAGCUGAAGUCGUGGAUCCGGCGGAGUGAGCCGGCUAAUGUGUCCAGGGACUUUUGGAUGCCCGAUCAGAGUUGUAGGGUAUGCUACGAGUGUGACUCCCAAUUUACAUUGUUUAACCGAAGGCACCAUUGCCGACAUUGUGGCCGGGUAUUCUGUGCCAAGUGUACAUCUAAUUGGAUUCCUGCAUCAUCUCUUGGACCAAGGACUCCCAGUGAAGAGUCAGAAACGAUCAGGGUAUGUAAUUUCUGUUUCAAGCAAUGGCAGCAAGGCAUAGCUGCUGGUGUUGAUAAUGGGAUUCAGUUUCCCAGUCUGGAUCUCAGUGCUUCGCCAUCGACAACCAGUUUCAUUAGCAGCAAAUCUAGUGGAACCAUUAACAGUAGUAGCAUUACUCUUGCAUCAAUGCCACACUCUGAUGGGGUUAGCCCUCAUCAGUCUGCAGCGAUGGAAACUGCCUUAGAAAGGCAACCUGUCGGAGAAUCAAGAACAUGCAAUGGUCAUGAUUCGGAGACAGCUCAUAGAGAUCAGUCUUCUAAUCAAUUCGGGAAUAGUGAUGAUGAAGAUGAAUUUGGAGUUUACCGGUUAGAUUCCAAAACGAGGCAUUUUCCUCAUCUUAAUGGUUACUAUGGUCACAUGCAGUUUGAUGAGAUUGACAAUGAAUAUGAAUCACGUAAAGUGCAUCCUGAUGCUGAGGCUGUUGAUUCAAAAAGCAUUAGUAGCUUGACAUUACAAAAUAGUUUAGAUUUUCAUUCCCAGGCUUCUGAAGAAGUCCAACAGAUUACCCAAAAAGAAGGUGGACAUGAUGGUGGUGAUGAAUGUGAAGCGCCUUCAUCUUUAAUUGCAGCAGAAGAUGUUGAUGCUGAACCGGUGGACUUUGAGAACAAUGGAGUUCUAUGGCUUCCACCUGAACCUGAAGAUGAAGAAGAUGACCGUGAAGUGCAUCUGUUUGAUGAUGACGAUGACGGGGAUGCUGCUGGAGAGUGGGGCUAUCUACGUGCUUCAGGCAGUUUUGGAAGUGGGGAAUUCCGAAGUAGGGAAAAGUCAAAUGAGGAGCACAGGAGGGCCAUGAAGAAUGUAGUUGAUGGACAUUUUAGGGCUUUAGUUGCUCAGCUUUUGCAGGUUGAGAAUCUCUUUGUAGGUGAUGAAGACGACAAAGAGAGUUGGUUAGAAAUAAUUACAUCUCUGUCCUGGGAGGCUGCUUCAAUGUUAAAGCCUGAUACGAGUAAGGGUGGGGGAAUGGACCCAGGAGGAUAUGUGAAAGUAAAAUGUAUAGCUUCUGGGCGUCGUAGUGAGAGUAUGGUGGUGAAAGGGGUUGUUUGUAAGAAGAAUGUUGCUCACAGAAGGAUGAUAUCAAAGAUAGAGAAACCUCGCAUACUAAUCCUCGGAGGAGCACUUGAAUACCAGAGGGUUUCUAAUCUCUUGUCAAGUUUUGAUACACUGUUGCAGCAGGAAAUGGAUCAUCUGAAGAUGGCUGUAGCAAAAAUUGAUUCCCACAAUCCUGAUGUUCUCCUGGUGGAGAAAUCUGUUUCUCGUUAUGCACAAGAGUAUCUUCUUGCAAAGGACAUAUCACUUGUUUUAAAUGUCAAAAGACCACUUCUAGAGCGCAUAGCUCGCUGCACAGGUUGUCAGAUUGUACCUUCAAUCGACCAUCUCUCAUCUCAAAAUUUGGGAUACUGUGACAUGUUCCAUGUUAAGAGGUUUCUAGAAGAGCAUGGCACAGCUGGACAGAGUGGAAAAAAGCUGGUAAAAACAUUGAUGUAUUUUGAAGGAUGUCCAAAGCCACUUGGUUGCACUGUACUACUUCGAGGUGCCAAUGGCGAUGAAUUGAAAAAGGUAAAACAUGUUGUGCAGUAUGGAGUUUUCGCAGCUUAUCACCUGGCCUUGGAAACAUCUUUUCUUGCUGAUGAAGGAGCCUCUCUGCCAGAGCUACCAUUGCAUUCUCCAAUUACUGUGGCACUUCCAGAUAAACCAUCUACCAUUGAGAGAUCCAUCUCAACAAUACCUGGUUUUACUGCCCCGAGUAAUGAACAUACUAUUGGACAUCAUUCUGAAGUUGAACCGCAAAGGUCAAUUAGCCUGCCCAUUCCAGAACAGUUCAAGGCCACAAGUUUGUUUGGUCAUGAGAUGAAUUCUCCGAAUUGCUCUAGCUCAAAUGCUGCUGUUGUGUCUCAUUCCAUAAAGCAGACUGUCACAUCUGCUGGGCAGAUUCUUUCAAAAACUUCAUCAUGUGAGCCCUCUCCUUGUCUUUCUUUGGAGGACAAGAUUACGGGGAAUUUGACUGAGUCUACUGGUGUAAAAGCAUCUAUGGCCAAUGACAUUCAGCAUGCUUCAGGAGAUCCUAUCAUUCCUAAUGGUUUUAUGCCUUCAAUACCACCGGUUAUAGGCGUUGUGGCCGAUGAUGUGCUGAAUGAUUGUGAUGGACUUGAUAGAACUCAAAAUAAUCUAGAUCUGUCUUCAUCGCAGCUAAAUAUAAAGCAAGUUCUUGAGGAACCAGUUUCUUCAAAGGAAGAGUUUCCUCCUUCCCCUUCUGACCACCAAAGCAUUUUGGUUACCUUAUCAUCUAGAUGUGUCUGGAAAGGGACUGUUUGUGAAAGGUCCCAUCUCUUUCGGAUCAAGUACUAUGGAAAUUUUGACAAACCAUUGGGACGAUUUUUACGAGAUCAUUUAUUUGAUCAUAGUUACAGAUGCCGCUCAUGUGAGAUGCCUUCAGAAGCGCAUGUUCAGUGUUAUACCCAUCGACAAGGCACCCUUACAAUUGCUGUGAAGAAGCUGCCAGAGUUUCUUUUACCAGGUGAAAAGGAAGGAAAGAUUUGGAUGUGGCACAGGUGCCUUAAGUGUCCACGAACCAAUGGUUUCCCUCCUGCAACUCGAAGAGUAGUGAUGUCUGAUGCUGCUUGGGGAUUGUCUUUUGGAAAGUUUCUUGAGCUCAGUUUUUCAAACCAUGCAGCUGCUAGCAGGGUAGCAAGCUGUGGCCACUCUUUACACAGAGACUGUUUGCGAUUUUAUGGAUUUGGGCAAAUGGUUGCUUGUUUCCGUUAUGCAUCAAUUGAUGUUCACUCAGUCUAUCUUCCUCCUCCAAAACUUGAUUUCAACUUCGAGAAUCAAGAAUGGGUACAACAAGAACUGAAUGAGGUGGUUGGCUGGGCUGAGCUUUUGUUUUCUGAGGUAUUAAAUGCUCUCCGUCUUUUGGUGGAGAAAAAUUUUGGUCCAGGCUUGCCAAGCAGUGGCAAAAAAGCACCAGAAUCAAGGCAUCAAAUGGCAGAUUUAGAAGCAAUGUUGCAGAAGGAAAAGGUGGAAUUUGAGGAUGCCCUUAAUAAAAUUCUGAAUAAGGAGGCUAGGAAGGGCCAACCCGCGGUUGAUAUUCUUGAAAUCAAUCGAUUGCGUAGACAACUACUCUUUCAAUCUUAUAUGUGGGACCACAGGCUGAUAUAUGUAGCCAGUUCAGAUAACAUUUGUCAGCGUGAGAUGGCAGUUGCCAAUUCAGCUCCUGAUGUGAGACCCAAUGAGGAGAUAUGUGAUUUAAAUGUUUCUGUUAGACCAGGCCAGGGUUUCGACAGUUCUAAUUUGGCUUCUCCUGAUGUAAAUCUAGAUGAAAGUCAUCAUCAUGGGGUUAGCGGUGGUGAGGAUCCUCCUGAAUUUAUUUGUGAUCGUGGAGUUGGUGGCUUGAAAAAUCCUGCUGUACUUGUUCAUCAGGAAACUGACGGUUCAAAUCCUAAUAGUGUAAAAGGAAAUCUGUCAUUUCCUUCUAGCGUGACAGACAUUCGUGAUGAAUCCGUUUCUUUAGAGUCUAAUGUAAGUGUUCAUGGCGUCCUAUCUGAUGGGCAAUUUCCAGUUAUGGUGAGUCUGUCAGAGACACUUGAUGCUGCUUGGACUGGUGAAACUAAUCCUGGUCUGGGGUUAUCAAUGGAUGAUAUGCAUAAAGUUUCUGAUACAGCUUCAUUGGAUUCAUCGACUACUGGAGGAGCUGCAGAAAUGUUGGACACAGAGGGCCAUGGUGAGGAACUGACUGGCGCUAAAAUUGUGCCAUCUCCUUUUUUGUCCUCCAGAGUUUCUGAUAACGUGGAAGAUACUGUCAGCUGGCUAGGUCUUCCCUUCAUAAGCUUCUAUCGCUCAUUGAAUAAAAACUUUUUAGGUAAUAAUCAGAAAUUGGACACGCUGUCUGAGUAUAAUCCUGUCUAUAUCUCCUCAUUCAGACAGUUGGAACUUCAAGGUGGGGCCAGGUUGCUCUUACCUGUUGGGUUUAAUGACACAGUGGUUCCAGUGUAUGAUGAUGAGCCUACGAGUGUUAUAGCUUAUGCCCUGGCUUCCCCCGAUUAUUUGGUCCAACUGUCUGAUGAUCUUGAGAGACUGAAGGACAUGGCAGACUUAACAUCAUCUCUGCUGUCCUUUGACUCGGGGAGUUUUCAAUCUUUUCACUCGAUGGACGAAAUAGCCUUGGAACCUUAUAGAAGUCUUGGUUCUGCAGAUGAAAGUAUCUUAUCCAUGUCCAGUACUCGUAGCUCCUCGGUGUUGGAUCCUUUUUCUUACACAAAAGCUAUGCACGCCAGAGUGUCUUUGACAGAUGAUGGGCCCCUUGGGAAGGUGAAAUAUACUGUGACCUGUUACUACGCUAAGCGUUUUGAAGCUUUGAGGAGGAUUUGUUGCCCAUCUGAGAUUGACUUCAUAAGAUCUCUUAGCCGCUGUAAGAAAUGGGGAGCCCAGGGUGGCAAGAGUAAUGUCUUUUUUGCCAAAACCUUGGAUGAUAGGUUUAUUAUUAAACAAGUCACUAAGACUGAGCUGGAAUCUUUCAUAAAGUUUGCUCCUGGAUAUUUCAAGUAUCUUUCUGAAUCUAUUGGUUCAGGAAGCCCUACAUGUCUGGCAAAGAUACUUGGGAUUUAUCAGGUUACGUCGAAGCAUGUUAAGGGGGGAAAGGAAUCAAAGAGGGAUGUUCUUGUUAUGGAGAACCUUCUUUUUGGGAGAAACUUGACCCGGCUUUAUGAUCUAAAAGGAUCUUCCAGAUCUCGAUAUAAUCCGGAUUCCAGUGGAAGUAACAAGGUUUUGCUGGAUCAGAACUUGAUUGAAGCAAUGCCAACUUCUCCUAUAUUUGUUGGAAACAAGGCAAAGAGGUUGCUUGAAAGAGCAGUUUGGAAUGAUACUGCAUUCCUUGCAGUAAGUUUCCAACUUUCUCUAACGGCUUAGUCAGUAAACGUGUAACAUGUCAGACAUAUGACAUAUGGUAGCAUAUAUAUUGUCUCUUGAAGAGAAUCUCCAAACUUGGCUUUUUUGACCACUUUAGUCAAUUGAUGUAAUGGACUAUUCAUUGUUGGUUGGUGUUGAUCAAGAGAAGCAUGAACUUGUUCUUGGGAUUAUCGACUUCAUGCGGCAGUAUACAUGGGACAAGCACUUGGAAACAUGGGUGAAGGCGUCUGGAAUCCUUGGAGGUCCAAAAAACACACCACCAACAGUAAUCUCACCUAAGCAAUACAAAAAGAGGUUUAGAAAAGCAAUGACAACCUAUUUUCUGAUGGUUCCAGAUCAAUGGUCUCCGCCUACUAUAGUUCCCAGCAAGUCUCAGAAUGAUUUAUCUGAGAACUUGCAGGGUGGAGGUGCUGCUCAGUGAUCAAGUAAAUUGGCCAAUCUGUACAUGUGAAGAUAUAUUUUUGGGAGCAUGCUCCUGCAUUAUUCUUCUAGUUCAUAUAUGGUGCUUUUGCCAUUUCGAAUUCUUUUGGAGGGAACUUCCAAAUACCUUCUUUAACAGCAGAAUUCAUGAUUGUUUAUCAAUGGCUGAAGAACUUGGCUUUACUACCUGGGAAAUGCUCAGCAGCAUAAAAAGUAGAGUGACCUUUUCUUGAAAUGAUUUUGUAAAAUGGUUUUUGGUACUUUUUUUUUCUUUCAUUUUGUAUUUAGAAUUUAAGAUGUAAAUCCAUUUUGAUCAUGCAAUUGCAAUUUUGUGUAACAUAUUAACUCAUCGCGGUUUCUUA